UACGUAGGGGGCAAGCGUUGUCCGGAAUCAUUGGGCGUAAAGAGCGUGUAGGCGGCCCGGUAAGUCCGCCGUGAAAGUCCAGGGCUCAACCCUGGGAUGCCGGUGGAAACUGUCGGGCUAGAGUCCGGGAAGAGGCGAGUGGAAUUCCUGGUGUAGCGGUGAAAUGCGCAGAUAUCAGGAGGAACACCAGCAGCGAAGGCGGCGCUCUGGGCGGAACUGACGCUGAGGAGCGAAAGCGUGGGUAGCAAACAGG
rnacentral:rRNA from 1 species